UACAGAGGGUGCGAGCGUUGUCCGGAAUCACUGGGCGUAAAGGGCGCGUAGGUGGUGACCUAAGCGUGCGGUGAAAGCCCGAGGCUCAACCUCGGGUCGGCCGUGCGAACUGGGUCACUGGAGCAGAAUAGAGGCAGGUGGAAUUCCGGGUGUAGCGGUGGAAUGCGUAGAGAUCCGGAAGAACACCGGUGGCGAAGGCGGCUCUCUGGACCGACACUGACGCUGAGGCGCGAAAGCGUGGGGAGCAAACAGG
rnacentral:rRNA from 1 species